CCCUCCUUUUUUAUGUAAUUGAAAUGGUAUUGACGAAUAACAAAUAAACAUACUAGUGUUUAUUAGUGUCGCAUAAAACCCGAAAUGGGGCGUGGCCAAGUGGUAAGGCAGCGGGUUUUGGUCCCGUUACUCGGAGGUUCGAAUCCUUCCGUCCCAGAUUGUUUCUGAUGAAACAAACGGUGAAAUCAUAUAGUAUUCCGUACGAGACAAAAGUUUAUUAAAGAGAAUAAUGAUAUCUUAUUCUUUCUCAGAAAACAUAAUAAAGUCUUAAGUCCAGUCAAAUUGACUAUCUUUAUUUUCAUGAAAAAAUGGGAUCUAUCAAGCACAUUCAGGAUAUGCCUCUACUAUAAAAUCACUUAGUCAUAUUUUUUUCUUCCUUUUGGUAUUCGAGUUGAAGAAGUACGAGAAUUCUAUAACUACCAAAAACUUUCAAUCUUUUCAUUGGAAUAGUUUUUUUAGUUAUUAUAGUUAAUUGUUUUUGGUACUGAAAAAAUAUAUUACUACUAGAAUUAGAAUUCUAGUAAUUAAAUUAAUUAAACUUUUUUGGAGGUUGAUAGUUUAUUUAUUGAGGAAGAGUCAAUCCUUCUCUUCUCACUUCAAGAUUGAUCAUCUCGAGCCAUCCGUUGAGGGUGGAAAUUUAAGAAUAAAUAAGUUUUAAGAAAACUUGUUUAGUCAUCUUUUUCAAACUAUGUUUCAUUCAUAUGAUAGAAUUUUAAUAUGGGUUUAAAUAAAUUGGAUCUUGGCGGAGGCUUCCCGGAUAAAUACUUACUUUCUUUUAUCCAUAUUGCUCCAUAGAUAGCAAGUUUUAAUUAGUAUAAAAAAACUAAACCAAUGACUAUUCAUGAUUCCAUCCAUAU